CCUACGGGUGGCAGCAGUGCGGAAUAUUGGACAAUGGACGCAAGUCUGAACCAGCGAUGCCGCGUGCGGGAUGAAGGAUCUAUGAGUUUUAAACUGCUUUUGUACGAGGGUAAACCCCGAUACGUGUAUCGGGUUGACAGUAUCGUACGGAUAAGGAACGGCUAACUCAGCGCCAGCAGCCGCGGGUAUACGGAUGAACAGAGCGUUAUCCGGGUUUAUUGGGUUUAAAGGGUGAGUAGGCGGUUUGAUAAGUUAGAGGUGAAAUGUCGGGGCUCAACCCCGAAACUGCCUCUAAUACUGUUGGACUAGAGAAUAGUUGCGGUAGGCGGAAUGUAUGGUGUAGCGGUGAAAUGCUUAGAGAUCAUACAGAACACCGAUUGCGAAGGCAGCUUACCAAACUAUAUCUGACGUUGAGGCACGAAAGCGUGGGUAGCAAACAGGAUUAGAUACCCGGGUAGUC
rnacentral:rRNA from 1 species